GGAUGCAGUAACUCUGACUGUAAUAAAGUAGCAUAAUUAGUUGUCAUUUAAUUGAUGGAGAGAAUGAAUGGUUAAACGAAUAUUUCACUGUCUUAAAAAAAAUUUUUUAAAAUUGAAAUAAUAGUUAAGAUGCUAUUUAAAAUUGUAAGACGAAGAGACCCUAUAGAGCUUUACUAUAAAUUUCUUUUUUAGAAAAUAAUAAAAAAUUAUUUAAUUUAGGGAAUUUGGUAGUUUAGUUGGGGCGACUGUUUUUUAAAAAUAACAAAAAUAAGCAAUAUAAUAUUAUUAUUUAUUGUAUAAUUAAAUAAUUUAACAAUUACUAUAGUAGGCUAUAAUGACCCGUUAUUAUAAUGAACAAUAAAUAACGAUUAAUUAAUAAAAGCUACCUUAGGGAUAACAGGA
rnacentral:rRNA from 1 species